GGGCGUUUGGCUGAGCAGCAAAGGCACCAGACUGUAAAUCUGGCGGGUUCUACCCUUCGCAGGUGCAAGUCCUGCAGCGCCCACAA
rnacentral:tRNA from 1 species